AUUGAACGCUGGCGGCAGGCCUAACACAUGCAAGUCGAACGAGUGGCGGACGGGUGAGUAAUGUAUGGGAAACUGCCUGAUGGAGGGGGAUAACUACUGGAAACGGUAGCUAAUACCGCAUACCAUCGGAUGUGCCCAGAUGGUAUUAGCUAGUAGGUGGGGUAAAGGCUCACCUAGGCGACGAUCCAUAGCUGGUAUGAGAGGAUGACCAUCCAAACGGGAACUGAGACACGGUCCAGACUCCUACGGGAGGCAGCAGUGGGGAAGAUUGCACAAUGGGCGCAAGCCUGAUACAGCCAUGCCGCGUGUGUGAAGAAGGCCUUCGGGUUGUAAAGUACUUUCAGCGGGGAGGCGUUACCCGCAGAAGAAGCACCGGCUAACUCCGUGCCAGCAGCCGCGGUAAUAC
rnacentral:rRNA from 1 species